rnacentral:rRNA from 1 species
AGUGAACGCUGGCGGCGUGCUUAACACAUGCAAGUCGAACGAGAACGGAAUAUAGCUUGCCAUAUUUGUCAGCUAAGUGGCGCACGGGUGAGUAAUGUAUAGAUAACCUGCCCUUAAGUAAGGAAUAACAGUUGGAAACGACUGCUAAUGCCCUAUAUGCCUUUAAUACAUAAGUAUGCAAGGGAAACGCUUUAGUGCUUAAGGAUGGGUCUGUAUGGUAUCAGCUUGUUGGUGAGGUAAUGGCUCACCAAGGCUAUGACGCCUAACUGGUUUGAGAGGAUGAUCAGUCACACUGGAACUGAGACACGGUCCAGACUCCUACGGGAGGCAGCAGUGGGGAAUAUUGCACAAUGGACGAAAGUCUGAUGCAGCAGCGCCGCGUGGAGGAUGACACAUUUCGGUGCGUAAACUCCUUUUAUAUGAGAAGAUAAUGACGGUAUUAUAUGAAUAAGCACCGGCUAACUCCGUGCCAGCCGCCGCCGUAA